CUCUGUAAUUCUUUCCCUCUCAGCCCUCCCAGGCUGCCGCCACAUCUAUCAGGUUAAUGUUACCGAUAUCGAUCCACCAAAUGAGACUUGACUUCAGCCAGUUACAACUUGUUUCUGUCGCAUCUGAUGGUCGAAGAUAGAGAAGAGAAGAGCCUACCGGCAGUGCUCUGCUGGAGCUGAGCAGCAGCAGGUCGAUGAGGUCUUUGCCGUACCAGACCAGCAGCUCCUCGUCCUUCUCAAUGCGGCGGAGCGAGCGGUAGAAGAGCUGGCCGUUCUUCACGUAGGCCUCCAGGUUCUGCUCCUCUUUGUCGCGGGCGGACUGGACCAGCCGCAGCCACAUCAGGCCCUCUGAGGUGCUGUUGGCUGCUGAGUAGAGAUGGAUACCUACAACUAUGAGGCCUUCCUCCACGUCUCUGAUUCGCUCAGACUUCUUCAGUGAUUCAGCGCAUCCCGGGAAUGACACAACACAAGCUUUUUGCAAAUGGAUUUCAGCAGACAGACUCUGGCAGCGCCGCAUCCCGGACGUAUUGUCUUCCUGUCACCACUUCUCAUCAAAUAUUAGCCAUGUUUUGUGCUUCAGAGGAAAAAAAAAGCAGCUCGGGAGACUAAUGCAUUGAUCUUCGAUGGGUAAACACAUCACACGAAAAACACAGUUAUUCACCGAGACGUCAAAGUCCUCAGCUGUGGACGUGUUGACAGUUAUUGUUUCCAACAAAGCUGUUUAAUAAAUCUCCCUCCACUUUGAUACGUGGAGAUGAAUAUGUUUUUUUUAUGGUCCAACACACACACACACACACAAAUAUAUAUACACACAUAAGAUAAAGGAAAGAUUUUGUUCCCUCACAAGAGAACUUCACAUCUAAGCUUUACUGUAAUUAUAUAACCCACUACUCUGCACCUGUCCUCCCACCUGUUCUGACCUACUAUUACUGAGGUGCCUUUUAGCAAAGCAUUCAGCCCCAGUCAGUUCAGUAAAAGUCUGUGGUUGUACCAGGCUGCAUCGAAAUGUAAAGCAAAUAAAAACAAAUUAAAAUAACAUUCAGAUAUUGUUGAUAUUUACAUGAUAUAUAUUAUAUAUGUAUAAUGAUAUUUUCCUACAGGAAAAUACAAGUCUGUCGACUUCAGCUACAUUUUUUGUUGUUGUAUUUAAUCUUUUUUAAAAGUAGUCUUUAAUAUUUCAGUUUAAAAACGUCAGGCUGGUGUUAGCACAGGAAUUGAAGCUGAUCUUUCUCACAUAUUUUGCCUCACUGCUGUGAUGUUGUGGAAUUAAAAACCAUCAGGGUGUAACUGUAAUCCCAGCUGUUUGAAAUCAUUUCUUAUUGACCACAAUAUUUUUAUUUUCCGCCAUUUUAUUUUUGAGCGUCCAAGUUCUGAUUGUGAAAUUCACAAAUUCUCUCAAAGGAGAAACAAAUGUUGAGUCCAUAAUGUGUGCACUGAUUUGCUUUUGAUGAUUUGAUUAAAUAACCAGGUGUGAGACUUGUUUAUGUACAGUACAGCUCAGCAUCACUGAGCAUCGUCUUGAAUACUUGCUGUAACAAUGGUCCGUUUGCAGCAUGGCCAUAAUCCCAGGCCCAGUUUUUUGUUCAUGUAAAGUGCCUUGAAUAAAUGAGGCAGUAGGAAGCUCCUUGUUUAUUCUGGCUGAAAUAAUCAGGUUGUAAAAUGAGAAUAAGGUGACACUCUGAAAUGUCAUUGAAAAUAUAUAUAUAUUUUUUUAGGCAAUGUGACGUUGUUGGGUUUUCUUUUUGUACUAAUGUAAGUUUUAGCUUCUAAUAUUUC